rnacentral:misc_RNA from 1 species
UACGGAGGGUGCAAGCGUUAAUCGGAAUUACUGGGCGUAAAGGGCGCGUAGGCGGCUCCAUCAGCCGGUUGUGAAAGCCCCGGACUCAACCUGGGAACCGCAUCCGGAACUGUCAGGCUAGAGUGCAGGAGAGGAAGGUAGAAUUCCCGGUGUAGCGGUGAAAUGCGUAGAGAUCGGGAGGAAUACCAGUGGCGAAGGCGGUCUUCUGGACUGACACUGACGCUGAGGUGCGAAAGCGUGGGUAGCAAACAGG